ACUUCCUGGGCCGGAACGAAAAGUGCGGAGGGGUGACCUGAGGUGCUUUUGGCUUGUGGUUGUGAUGUUGUGUUUGCUAUUUUUUUGUCUGCUUCUUGCAGAUGUGGUAGCGAGUCUACCCUAUUCACUUCCUGUACAUUUACCCUGUCUGUCUAAAGUGAUUUUUUAUGUAGCACCGCAAAUUGCGGUGCUUUUUUUU
rfam:Erwinia carotovora subsp. atroseptica SCRI1043, complete genome